GCCGGGCUGACUCAGUCAGUGGAGCGUGCGACUCUUGAUCUCAGGGCUGUGGGUUCGAGCCCCACGUUGGGUG
rnacentral:tRNA from 1 species